rnacentral:rRNA from 1 species
GAUGAACGCUGGCGGCGUGCUUAACACAUGCAAGUCGAACGAUGAAGCCCAGCUUGCUGGGUGGAUUAGUGGCGAACGGGUGAGUAACACGUGAGUAACCUGCCCUUAACUCUGGGAUAAGCCUGGGAAACUGGGUCUAAUACCGGAUAGGAGCGUCCACCGCAUGGUGGGUGUUGGAAAGAUUUAUCGGUUUUGGAUGGACUCGCGGCGUAUCAGCUUGUUGGUGAGGUAAUGGCACACCAAGGCGACGACGGGUAGCCGGCCUGAGAGGGUGACCGGCCACACUGGGACUGAGACACGGCCCAGACUCCUACGGGAGGCAGCAGUGGGGAAUAUUGCACAAUGGGCGCAAGCCUGAUGCAGCGACGCCGCGUGAGGGAUGACGGCCUUCGGGUUGUAAACCUCUUUCAGUAGGGAAGAAGCGAAAGUGACGGUACCUGCAGAAGAAGCACCGGCUAACUACGUG